CUUUAAAUAGAGAAUCUGUGUAGGUAAUAACUGGUAAACGAUUAAAUAAGUAUCCCUGAUAAGAUCGGUUGACCUUAAAGUUUCUCAAUAAUUAAUGGCUGUGAUCUAUAAAUAUUUGUCGAUAUCAAAGAAGACGAUAGAAUUCGUUGCAUUCUCUCGAUACAUAGAGGCAAUCCAAACCAAAAAGAGUCUACUUGGUUUAAUCUUCGGAAGUGGUUUUUAGGGCAUGGGCUCAAGAUAGUGCAAGAGACAUACCUAGCUAUGGUUGGAGUUUUCAUUCAUUAUCAUAGGUAGACAUACCCACCCUGCAGGUGAAGGUUAUGCUGAAAUAAAAUGUCAUAGGCUGGUAGCUGCAGUGUAGCAAAUCAAUAAUUACUUUCGGUGUCUUUAUUCUAUCAUUUUAGUGGGGGCUGUAGGUACAUGAAAAAAAACGUUUUUCACAAUGUCAUCCGGGACCAUUCUGGGUGAUUUUGGGUCUGGACCACAAAAAGGGUCGAGUACUGCAAUCCACCAGGGCCAGUCAGAAUGCUGUCAGCGUUACCACAAAUCCUCAAAAAGUUUAGAAAGGUAUCAUGAGGUCAUUCAAAAUAAAGAUUUUAGUGAAUCGAAUAAUUAAACAUGAAGGUUACACGUGUCGGUGUUUUACUAUGCGUUAAUUAUUUAACAAAAAUACUUCUUACCGAAUAGGGCCAACUUCACAGACAUGUAUUUGAUUUAAUUAUUUUAAGUAAUUAUCGUAUUUAUAUGCAUUACUGCAUUAUUAAACUUAACUGGGAAUAAGUCUAUUAACUGA